GAGCGGCGGACGGGUGAGUAACGCGUAGGAAUCUACCUAGUAGAAGGGGAUAGCCCGGGGAAACCCGGAUUAAUACCGUAUACCUCCUUCGGGAGAAAGAAGGCCUCUCUUUGAAGCUUUCGCUAUUAGAUGAGCCUGCGUAAGAUUAGCUUGUUGGUGAGGUAAAGGCUCACCAAGGCGACGAUCUUUAGCUGGUCUGAGAGGACGAUCAGCCACAUUGGGACUGAGACACGGCCCAGACUCCUACGGGAGGCAGCAGUGGGGAAUAUUGGACAAUGGGCGAAAGCCUGAUCCAGCCAUACCGCGUGUGUGAAGAAGGCCUUCGGGUUGUAAAGCACUUUAAGCAGGGAGAAAAAGUUAUAAGUUAAUACCUUAUAACCGUGAUGUUACCUGCAGAAUAAGCACCGGCUAAUUCCGUGCCAGCAGCCGCGGUAAUACGGAAGGUGCAAGCGUUAAUCGGAAUUACUGGGCGUAAAGCGCGCGUAGGUGGUUUGUUAAGUUGGAUGUGAAAGCUCUGGGCUCAACCUAGGAACUGCAUCCAAAACUAACUCACUAGAGUACGAUAGAGGGAGGUAGAAUUCAUAGUGUAGCGGUGGAAUGCGUAGAUAUUAUGAAGAAUACCAGUGGCGAAGGCGGCCUCCUGGAUCUGUACUGACACUGAGGUGCGAAAGCGUGGGUAGCGAACAGGAUUAGAUACCCUGGUAGUCCACGCCGUAAACGAUGACAACUAGCUGUUGGAAGACAAUGUUUUUCAGUGGCGCAGCUAACGUUUAAGUGUCCGC
rnacentral:rRNA from 1 species